AUUGAACGCUGGCGGUAUGCUUUACACAUGCAAGUCGAACGGUAGAGGGGCAACCCUUGAGAGUGGCGAACGGGUGAGUAAUACAUCGGAACGUGCCCAGUCGUGGGGGAUAACGUAGCGAAAGCUACGCUAAUACCGCAUACGACCUGAGGGUGAAAGCGGGGGACCUGCAAGGGCCUCGCGCGAUUGGAGCGGCCGAUGGCAGAUUAGGUAGUUGGUGAGGUAAAGGCUCACCAAGCCGACGAUCUGUAGCUGGUCUGAGAGGACGACCAGCCACACUGGGACUGAGACACGGCCCAGACUCCUACGGGAGGCAGCAGUGGGGAAUUUUGGACAAUGGGCGCAAGCCUGAUCCAGCCAUACCGCGUGCAGGAAGAAGGCCUUCGGGUUGUAAACUGCUUUUGUCAGGGAAGAAAUCUUCUGGGCUAAUACCCUGGGAGGAUGACGGUACCUGAAGAAUAAGCACCGGCUAACUACGUGCCAGCCGCCGCCGUAA
rnacentral:rRNA from 1 species